GACAGAGGAUGCAAACGUUGCUCGGAUUUACUGGGCGUAAAGCGCGCGCAGGCGGUCCUGUAAGUCGAGUGUGAAAUCCCGGGGCUCAACCUCGGACGUGCACUCGAUACCGCGGGACUGGAGUACUGGAGAGGAGAGCGGAAUUCCGAGUGUAGAGGUGAAAUUCGUAGAUAUUCGGAAGAACACCAGUGGCGAAGGCGGCUCACUGGACCGGUAUUGACGCUGAGGUGCGAAAGCGUGGGGAGCAAACAGG
rnacentral:rRNA from 1 species